UACGUAGGGUGCAAGCGUUGCUCGGAAUUAUUGGGCGUAAAGCGCACGUAGGCGGUUCAGCAAGUCGGGUGUGAAAGCCCUCGGCUUAACCGAGGAAGUGCAUUCGAAACUACUGGACUUGAAUACUGAAGAGGAUAGCGGAAUUCCUGGUGUAGCGGUGAAAUGCGCAGAUAUCAGGAGGAACACCGGUGGCGAAGGCGGAUCUCUGGGCCAUUACUGACGCUGAGGAGCGAAAGCGUGGGGAGCGAACAGG
rnacentral:rRNA from 1 species